GCCUACGGGGGGCAGCAGUGAGGACUAUUGGUCAAUGGCCGCAGGGCUGAACCAGCCAAGUCGCGUGAGGGAUGACGGUCCUAUGGAUUGUAAACCUCUUUUGUCAGGGAGCAAAGGGCGCCACGUGUGGCGUUUUGCGAGUACCUGAAGAAAAAGCAUCGGCUAACUCCGUGCCAGCAGCCGCGGUAAUACGGAGGAUGCGAGCGUUAUCCGGAUUUAUUGGGUUUAAAGGGUGCGUAGGCGGACGCUUAAGUCAGCGGUAAAAUUGCGGGGCUCAACCUCGUCGAGCCGUUGAAACUGGGUGC
rnacentral:rRNA from 1 species